UCAGACAUUAUAAUGGGAAGCCACAUAACAGCAGGGAGAAUACCUGUGCCACGUCUUAAGGAAGAUUCUUGUUGACUUUCCAGCAAGUCUUGUGAGACUGCAGCUGGGACCCUAGACCUGCAAACUAAUGUUUUCUUCACCCCUGAUGACUGUAUGAAAAUAGGAAGAUGGCUUCAUAUUAGAUCUGGAACUUUGGGAGAUGUGAUUUUGACGGCUGAGUCUGCUGCAGGCUCCUUCUGACCUCAGAUAAAAAGGUCCCGGCUACUUCUGAGGACAAGAAUAUGAAGUAUCUGUUUGAAAGUAAUGUUGAAGGUAAUGCCUCAUCCACAGGUGUGGGG
ensembl:lncRNA